CCUGACAGGGUUACUCUGAGUGAUCUCCGCUAAGGAGAUCUUUUGGCACCUCUAAAAAUGGUGCAGAAUAAGGGGUGGGCAAGUCUGGUGUCAGCCGCCGCAGUA
rnacentral:rRNA from 1 species